rnacentral:tRNA from 1 species
GCGCCGCUAGCUCAGCCUGGUAGAGCAAGUGACUCUUAAUCACUGGGUCGUAGGUUCGAAUCCUACGCGGCGCA